AGUCCACAUCGACGGGGAGGUUUGGCACCUCGAUGUCGGCUCAUCACAUCCUGGGGCUGUAGUAGGUCCCAAGGGUUGGGCUGUUCGCCCAUUAAAGUGGUACGCGAGCUGGGUUCAGAACGUCGUGCGACAGUUCGGUCCCUAUCCGUCGCAGGCGUAGGAAAUUUGAGAAGACCUGUCCUUAGUACGAGAGGACCGGGAUGGACGUACCUCUGGUGUACCAGUUGUCCUGCCAAGGGCAUGGCUGGGUAGCUAUGUACGGAAUGGAUAAGCGCUGAAAGCAUCUAAGCGCGAAGCCAACUUCAAGAUAAGAUUUCCCACCGCAAGGGUAAGACCCCAGAAAGACUAUCUGGUUGAUAGGUCGAAGGUGUAAGU
rnacentral:rRNA from 1 species